rnacentral:sRNA from 1 species
CUUGCAAAAGCUUGUGAACUCUGUCCAGAGGAGGUAAAAAAAGCCACCAGUGUGCAGCAGAUAGAAAUGGAAGAGAGCAAAGUAAUUCUUUAUUUUAUAGGCCAGUGUUUAUGUAUUAAUGAUAUUAUUAAAGAAAUUUCUGUGAAAUUGCCUGAAAUGUAGUAGUUCUGAGAGAAUGCAAAUCAGGUUUUUUGUUUGGUUUGGUUUUUUGUUUUUUCCCCAAGUUCUUUAUCUGCAGUAAAAGAAAAGUUGCUAAUGGGUCAGUUUUGUAGAUUUUUAAAAUUUAUUUCAAAUAGAAAAAGUUAAAAAUAAACUUGAGUUUGCCUACAUAAUUUUUUAUCUUGAAAUAUUCAAAAUUAGGAGCCAGAUGACCAAGAUGCUCCAGAUGAACAUGAGUCGCCUCCACCUGAAGAUGCCCCAUUGUACCCCCAUUCACCUGGAUCUCAGUAUCAACAGAAUAACCAUGUGCAUGGACAGCCAUAUACAGGCCCAGCAGCACAUCACAUGAACAACCCUCAGAGAACUGGCCAACGAGCACAAGAAAAUUAUGAAGGCAGUGAAGAAGUAUCCCCACCUCAAACCAAGGAUCAGUGAAAUGCACAUAAUUAACUGGUUCCAUCAAGACUGUGCACCCAGGCCUUACAGUCCAACCUUUUUCUGUGUCUGGCUAAUAUUUAAAACUAGAAAAACUAUUCCUAAUCAACAUGGAGUGGAGAGUUUAUUCACUGUCUUAUCUGCAGAAAUUUGCUGUCAAUAUAUAACCCGCCUGCAGUGGAAAGUGUAUAGUGUUUUGUAAUAAAUGGCCUGAUGCUAAUGUGUAAAUGGCAAAGGUGUAUAUAGUAUAUUAAUGUUGACUGUUAAUUCUUAAGAAACUUUUUUCUUGAUGAGACUCACAGAUCUACACAAACUACAAAAGUUAAUUUUCUUGUUAUACCCACUGCACUCUGCAACCAGUGUUGCCUGCCUCAUGGCAGUUGGAUCAGCUCCUUUACAAAAAAAAAAAAAAAAAAACCAACAACGGCAACAAAACAGAGCCCAUCCAUGUCAGCCACACCAAUAGUUUCAUGUUAAUUCUUUGCCACUGGAGUCAAUUUUGCUAUGAGCAAUGUAAGGCUGGUAACCUUUAAAUUAUUUGGUUGAUGUGGAAAAUUGGUGAUGUAACACUGUUUCUAGAUUUUUUUCAUUGCCUUUUUAUUCUGAUAUUAGGUUAAUCACUUUGAAGCUAUAGUUAUGCUGUAACAUUUAGCAUGGCUUCACACCAAGUUAGUGUAGCCAAUGAGGAAAAAGUUACCAUAAUGACAGCAGUUGUCCGAGAAGUGACAGCUGUAUUACUCAGAGCUUUUACUUCUUACACCUAGAAUAUUAAAAUAUAAAACAAGGGGAGAAAUGUGACAAACAGGCUAUUUUCAGUUGCACAUAUGUUUCUUAUAUAUAAUGUUUGACAGUUCAAUCUCUGGGUGGGAUAAAGAACACUUACGUAUCAGUAAUGGGAAUUUUUAAAGAUUUAAAACAAAUAUGCAAAAAUCUGCUAUGCCAAGAUGCUGGAGCAUAAUAGAAGACUGUAUUUGGUGUGCUUGUUUUGUUUCUUUGGUAGAGUUUAUUAGGUGAAUCUUCUAAAACUUUCCUUCUGUUGGAUCCCAGUGACGUGGAAGUCAUCAGAACCCCACGGUACUUGGAGUACCUCUCUGCACCAAGAUAGCUGGCUGAUUUUCUGCUCAGUCACAAUUUUACUUGAAAGCAAGAAUUGUCCUAGCUCCUUUUCCAUUAUUCCAAAACGUUUAACGUUCAAAGCAGGGUCUCAUUAAAAAAACUACUGGUUAAUAUAAUUGAGAUAUCACAAUUUCAGAAUAAACAUUUGAUUAAAAAUAAGGAACUCCUCAAUUCAUACUGUAUUUAAAAGAGAAUUGGUAACUUGAAUGUGUGUAAUUUUUUGGAACCUGUCUAAAAACCAAAUACCCCUGCAAACAGAUACAGCCCACCCUAUUCUAUUUAAAUAUUUUGCUGUUUUAUUUUAUAGAAAUUAUUUUGCUGAAUUCACAAAUAGAACUUGAUUUAAGAAGA